ensembl:miRNA
UCUGGCUUUCCGUGUUCACAGCGGACCUUGAUUUAAUGUCUUACAAUUAAGGCACGCGGUGAAUGCCAAGAGCGGAGCCU